rnacentral:rRNA from 1 species
AUUGAGCGCUGGCGGCAGGCCUAACACAUGCAAGUCGAGCGGAUGAAGGGAGCUUGCUCCUGGAUUCAGCGGCGGACGGGUGAGUAAUGCCUAGGAAUCUGCCUGGUAGUGGGGGAUAACGUCCGGAAACGGGCGCUAAUACCGCAUACGUCCUGAGGGAGAAAGUGGGGGAUCUUCGGACCUCACGCUAUCAGAUGAGCCUAGGUCGGAUUAGCUAGUUGGUGGGGUAAAGGCCUACCAAGGCGACGAUCCGUAACUGGUCUGAGAGGAUGAUCAGUCACACUGGAACUGAGACACGGUCCAGACUCCUACGGGAGGCAGCAGUGGGGAAUAUUGGACAAUGGGCGAAAGCCUGAUCCAGCCAUGCCGCGUGUGUGAAGAAGGUCUUCGGAUUGUAAAGCACUUUAAGUUGGGAGGAAGAGCAGUAAGUUAAUACCUUGCUGUUUUGACGUUACCAACAGAAUAAGCACCGGCUAACUUCGUG